GUUAACCCCCUCCCUGCCGGCCGCGGCCGCCCGGCCGGGGCCGCGCCCGCCGCUGGCACCGCGGCGCGCACCAGCCCCCUGCCCCCGCCCCCGCCCGCCCGGACUGCCUCCUCCGCGAGCUGUCAACAAAGGAGAAUCAGGUUUGGCAUCGGGAGGCCUCCGGGCUGCCCGCCCUGAGCCCAGCUCAGCCCGGACCCACCGGCCACCUUAAGUGGCCGAGGGGGCAACGACAAUCUGCCAGGGCCUGGGGAUUCGGGUGGAGGCCUUGUGAGCUCAGCUGGCGUAGCCCCCUGUGCGUAGAGCUCAGGACGCCUGCAGAGUGGGUAAGGGCAGUGGGGAUGUGCUCCCCUCACCUCCCCCACCCCUUCCUUAGCAUCACCUGUCAGCGCGCCCAUCCUGCACACCUCCAUCUUCAUCUUUAAUUUGAGUGAGGGGUGAGUGGGAAGGAACGGACUUUGGCAGAUGCGGUCGAGAACGGGGCCUCAGAAUCGGUGGGAGCAAAUUUCCUCUGCUCGUGAAUUUCAAAAAGCCAACAAGCUGUCAAAUGAGGUUUGAAGUUGUUAUUAUUAUUUGUCUAAUGCAAAGGUGAGCUUUGCUCUGAAGCUCAAGCUUCCAGCUCUAUUAGGGAUCCUGGGCACCUGGCAAGCGUGGGGGGACCCGAGGGGCGCUUUCCAUAUUCAGGCCCAGGGAUCUGGGCUGGCAGGGCAAUCAGAGGUGGAGGUAAAAUAACUUAUUUUAAUAACCUAAGGUGAGAGGUUUCUGGAUUCCGGAUGGCAAUGCCUCGGUUGCUUUUACGACCAUUGAUUCCGUGCGGUAGAGUCUCAGCAUGUCCGCAGUGCCUGGACGCGGCUUUCCGAAAGAGGCCUGCAAGCUAGACCCCAGCUCCAUACCCUUGGACCUGUCUAUGUCUUCGUGGAACUCAAGUUUCCUGGUGCCUCUCUGGCCUUUGAUGUCUUCUUCCUCAUCCCGUCCAGCUGGUGUCAAACCCAUCACCCCUGGGGACUCACGGAGACUCUGCCAAUGCCUUGAAAUUCAUCCUCAUUUCCACAAGGACAGACGGUCCCAGCCCAGCCCAGUUCUGGACAAGUAGGCGUGUGUUUAACAAUGAGAGCUGGCCUGGAGGAAAGAAGUUGCCAGCACAGGCACCUCUCUACUAGCUCCUGUCGCCUCUGCCCUGCACCACCGCCACAUAGGUGGCCAUGCCCGCCUCUCAAAAUCAUGGGAUAAUUGGGUGCAAUGUGUGUGACCCCCACUCCUUCCAGAGAGCCCGCCAGUCCGUCUUUGUGGGAACCCACAGGGAGCAGGGGGAGAAAGAAAGACAAGAACGAUAGCAGAAGAAUUUCUUCUUGCUUCGAACUGCAAGCUCUUCUGGGACAGAACAUUACACUCUCCCUCUGUCUGCCCCCAGCCUUCGACUUCUCUUUCCUGACUGACAGGUAGAGUACCUAACACAGAGCCCAGGCCCUCCCAGGGACUGGAGCUGGUAUGUGGUGGGAAGGACGAGGAGGGUCUGGUUGAAAAGUUAGACCCAGCCCCAGGGUCCUGUCUCUGGUUUGCCAAAAGGUAGAGGAGCGCAGCCGCUGAGGGCAGUUUGGAAGGCCUCAAGCCGGACCUGUGGGGGCUGGUCCAGGGCCCUGCAGGAGUGGGGGUAGGUGGGACCUCACCCAGGUCUGGCAGAGGGUCAAGUCCAUUGCCCCAUGCAAAAACAAAGAAACACAUUGCUUUAGUAAGUCAAAUACCCAGCCAUCCGGGUGCAGACCCCAGUGCCUGCUUCCAUGCUGUAAAUUUGGAGCAGCGUGGGAACUGAAAAGGUCCGAAAAGAAAUGAUCCAGAAAUGGCACGAGCCCUUGGCCAGAAGGAGACACUGCAUUAUCACCGACGUCACGAAACAGUUAAUAGGCACCAGAAUAAAAGUCUUUAGCCUUGCUUUCUGUCUUCUAAGUUUUGAAUUCCUAGAAGGUCCACGCUUUUCCCUCAGUGUCAGUUUGUGAAAUAGACUUU